ACAUGACAGCUAUGACAAACCUUUGUUCAUCCCAAAUUGGCGAUUUGAGAAGAAAUACAAAAAUGCAUAUUUUUUUCUGCAUAUUUGAAUGUAGGUGCCUGGUGUGCAUGUACAUUUAUUUAUCGCUCUUUUGUAUCUCUGCUUCCUGGUUCAAAGUGGCUGGAAGCUCCCACAGAGGGCUGUUCUUCCCUUUUUAUUAGUGUGACCCCUUUUUAUCAUUUACUAUUUUCCCCCAAACCCAUCGUAGGGAUGAACUGAACAUAGUCUGCAUCAUUUACUUAAAACUUCAACUUUCAGUCUUUUGUUCUCUGACCUUUUUGGGUGUUUUCUGUGUCAGAGUUGGGUUUUUCACCCAAGGCAGUGUUGAAAAUGUGACUUGUCAGUGUAUUGGGUAGCUUUUUACAUCGAAGUCGUCUUUUCUUGAUUUUUAGGUGAUAAUAUCAGAGAGUUUUUGCUGAGUCUCAGAUAUUUUCGAAUCUUCAUUGCCUUGUGGAAUGUCUUCAUGAUGUUCUGCAUGAUUGUGUUAUUUGGAUCUUGAAAGUCAUUCACAAACGCGGCCCUUAACUUGGAAGAGACUUUUGGCUGGAAACAUAACUUUUUCUACAAAAGAUUAUAAUGCUUUCAAAAUACAGCCCUGGGAUUGUGGCCUGUUCUUCGGCACAAGCUCCUCUUCAUGUGGGACAGGACACGUUCAGCCUCUUCAGCCCAUCCCAUCACACACGGUGCAGGCUGCGUCACUCGCUGCCGGGGGGACCGAGCCUUUAGGUCCCUGAGCCAAAAAAAUCUUCAAAGUAAAAUGAUUUCAACUUUCUGGAAAUAAAGUGAACUGUAAAUCGUGUAGCUAGGCUUAGAGCACGGUGCUUAGAGUCUGCAGGGUGGAACCAGAGCACGACUGAAGAUCACAAUCUUAAAACUCGGCGUUGUUAGUCCCCCCCAGCUCGUGAUGUGUCUCCUGGUGUCACCCUUGUCUCGCGUCCCUGGAAGUUGCACUUCUCCAUUCUCGUUUUUAUAAAGCUCAGCAAAGUGUUGGUGUGUAUCACCAACUGUCUCACUAUUCCAUUUAGUUUUGUUGGAGAAAUAGAAAAGGAUGAUUUAAAAAAAUGGGAUUCUCACCUUCUGUUUUUCCAAAAAUGCUUUUUAAAUUAAAAUUUCAAAGGUUCCUUUUUUUUUUUUUCUAAGCAAUAUGUAAGGGAUUUUGAAUAGGGAAAAUGUCAACAAUUCUGUAAGUCAAUGUUAAGGAAUAGUUUUGGAAUAACGUUGGAUUUGGUUGAAUAAAGUUGUUCUAUUUAAGGGUAAAACAUA